rnacentral:hammerhead_ribozyme from 1 species
AUCCAGCUGACAAGUCCCAAACAGGACGAAACGCGCGUUUUGAGU